UACAGAGGGUGCGAGCGUUGUCCGGAAUCACUGGGCGUAAAGCGCACGUAGGCGGCUCUUUAAGUCAGGGGUGAAAUCCUGGAGCUCAACUCCAGAACUGCCUUUGAUACUGAGGGGCUUGAGUCCGGGAGAGGUGAGUGGAACUGCGAGUGUAGAGGUGAAAUUCGUAGAUAUCUGGAGGAACACCGGUGGCGAAGGCGGCAUCCUGGACCGGCAUUGACGCUGAGGAGCGAAAGCCAGGGGAGCAAACGGG
rnacentral:rRNA from 1 species